rnacentral:rRNA from 1 species
GUAGGGAAUCUUGCGCAAUGGGCGAAAGCCUGACGCAGCGACGCCGCGUGCGGGAUGAAGGCCUUCGGGUCGUAAACCGCUUUCAGCAGGGACGAAAUUGACGGUACCUGCAGAAGAAGGCCCGGCCAACUACGUGCCAGCAGCCGCGGUGAUACGUAGGGGUCUAGCGUUGUCCGGAAUCAUUGGGCGUAAAGAGCUCGUAGGCGGUUCGGCAAGUCGGAUGUGAAAUCUCCACGCUCAACGUGGAGGGGCCAUUCGAAACUGCCGUGACUCGAGUCCGGUAGGGGAGUGCGGAAUUCCCGGUGUAGCGGUGAAAUGCGCAGAUAUCGGGAGGAACACCAGUGGCGAAGGCGGCACUCUGGGCCGGAACUGACGCUGAGGAGCGAAAGCGUGGGGAGCGAACAGGAUUAGAAACCCGAGUAGUCC